rnacentral:rRNA from 1 species
CCUACGGGUGGCAGCAGUGGGGAAUAUUGCGCAAUGGGCGAAAGCCUGACGCAGCGACGCCGCGUGAGGGAUGAAGGUCUUCGGAUCGUAAACCUCUGUCAGCAGGGAAGAACGGUCACGGUGCUAAUCAGCAGUGAAUUGACGGUACCGGCAAAGGAAGCACCGGCUAACUCCGUGCCAGCAGCCGCGGUAAUACGGAGGAUGCGAGCGUUAUCCGGAUUUAUUGGGUGUAAAGGGUGCGUAGGCGGAAGGCCAAGUCAGCGGUAAAAUCGCGGGGCUCAACCUCGCUCCGCCGUUGAAACUUUCGUUCUUGAGUGUUGGAGUGGCAGGCGGAAUUCCGUGUGUAGCGGUGAAAUGCGUAGAUAUCCGGAGGAACACCAGUGGCGAAGGCGGCCUGCUGGACAAUAACUGACGCUGAGGCGCGAAAGCGUGGGGAGCAAACAGGAUUAGAUACCCUUGUAGUC